AAGGCCGAGAAAGAAGAAAAAAAGGAAAAGAAGAAGAAAGGAAAGGAAAGGAACGGAAAGGAAGAAGUUGAUGACUUUUGCCAGUUUGGGUUCUUCAUUUUUUUCAAAUUAUGCUUCUUUUAAAGAGGUAGGGACGUGAAAGUUUGGAAAGGCUCAUCAAUUAAAUCAAGUUUUCAUACAUAGUUCUAUAGCAAUCGAGUUGAACAGUAUUGGAGCCUAUCGAUCCACUGAAUUGAGCAACACGUCAUUAGUUGUAUGAUCUACUUUAUCAUAUUAGGUAGUACCUGUUUCUUGGGUUACAUGUAAUUUAUGUUAGAAAAAGUUGUCAUGAAAUCACUAUAUGAUAUAUUUAGUACAUUUGAGGAUUGUUGAUAGUAAAGCAAGUAAAUAUCGAAUUGUCAGUAUUUUAUUUUGAAUAGUUUGAAUUUUUAGG